rnacentral:rRNA from 1 species
GGUGAAAAGCACCCCGGAAGGGGAGUGAAAUAGAACCUGAAACCGUGUGCUUACAAGUAGUCAGAGCCCGUUAAUGGGUGAUGGCGUGCCUUUUGUAGAAUGAACCGGCGAGUUACGAUUUGAUGCAAGGUUAAGCAGUAAAUGUGGAGCCGUAGCGAAAGCGAGUCUGAAUAGGGCGUUUAGUAUUUGGUCGUAGACCCGAAACCAGGUGAUCUACCCUUGGUCAGGUUGAAGUUCAGGUAACACUGAAUGGAGGACCGAACCGACUUACGUUGAAAAGUGAGCGGAUGAACUGAGGGUAGCGGAGAAAUUCCAAUCGAACCUGGAGAUAGCUGGUUCUCUCCGAAAUAGCUUUAGGGCUAGCCUCAAGUGAUGAUUAUUGGAGGUAGAGCACUGUUUGGACGAGGGGCCCCUCUCGGGUUACCGAAUUCAGACAAACUCCGAAUGCCAAUUAAUUUAACUUGGGAGUCAGAACAUGGGUGAUAAGGUCCGUGUUCGAAAGGGAAACAGCCCAGACCACCAGCUAAGGUCCCAAAAUAUAUGUUAAGUGGAAAAGGAUGUGGCGUUGCCCAGACAACUAGGAUGUUGGCUUAGAAGCAGCCAUCAUUUAAAGAGUGCGUAAUAGCUCACUAGUCGAGUGACACUGCGCCGAAAAUGUACCGGGGCUAAACAUAUUACCGAAGCUGUGGAUUGUCCUUUGGACAAUGGUAGGAGAGCGUUCUAAGGGCGUUGAAGCAUGAUCGUAAGGACAUGUGGAGCGCUUAGAAGUGAGAAUGCCGGUGUGAGUAGCGAAAGACGGGUGAGAAUCCCGUCCACCGAUUGACUAAGGUUUCCAGAGGAAGGCUCGUCCGCUCUGGGUUAGUCGGGUCCUAAGCUGAGGCCGACAGGCGUAGGCGAUGGAUAACAGGUUGAUAUUCCUGUACCACCUAUAAUCGUUUUAAUCGAUGGGGGGACGCAGUAGGAUAGGCGAAGCGUGCGAUUGGAUUGCACGUCUAAGCAGUAAGGCUGAGUAUUAGGCAAAUCCGGUACUCAUUAAGGCUGAGCUGUGAUGGGGAGAAGACAUUGUGUCUUCGAGUCGUUGAUUUCACACUGCCGAGAAAAGCCUCUAGAUAGAAAAUAGGUGCCCGUACCGCAAACCGACACAGGUAGUCAAGAUGAGAAUUCUAAGGUGAGCGAGCGAACUCUCGUUAAGGAACUCGGCAAAAUGACCCCGUAACUUCGGGAGAAGGGGUGCUCUUUAGGGUUAACGCCCAGAAGAGCCGCAGUGAAUAGGCCCAAGCGACUGUUUAUCAAAAACACAGGUCUCUGCUAAACCGUAAGGUGAUGUAUAGGGGCUGACGCCUGCCCGGUGCUGGAAGGUUAAGAGGAGUGGUUAGCUUCUGCGAAGCUACGAAUCGAAGCCCCAGUAAACGGCGGCCGUAACUAUAACGGUCCUAAGGUAGCGAAAUUCCUUGUCGGGUAAGUUCCGACCCGCACGAAAGGCGUAACGAUUUGGGCACUGUCUCAACGAGAGACUCGGUGAAAUCAUAGUACCUGUGAAGAUGCAGGUUACCCGCGACAGGACGGAAAGACCCCGUGGAGCUUUACUGUAGCCUGAUAUUGAAAUUCGGCACAGCUUGUACAGGAUAGGUAGGAGCCUUUGAAACGUGAGCGCUAGCUUACGUGGAGGCGCUGGUGGGAUACUACCCUAGCUGUGUUGGCUUUCUAACCCGCACCACUUAUCGUGGUGGGAGACAGUGUCAGGCGGGCAGUUUGACUGGGGCGGUCGCCUCCUAAAAGGUAACGGAGGCGCUCAAAGGUUCCCUCAGAAUGGUUGGAAAUCAUUCAUAGAGUGUAAAGGCAUAAGGGAGCUUGACUGCGAGACCUACAAGUCGAGCAGGGUCGAAAGACGGACUUAGUGAUCCGGUGGUUCCGCAUGGAAGGGCCAUCGCUCAACGGAUAAAAGCUACCCCGGGGAUAACAGGCUUAUCUCCCCCAAGAGUUCACAUCGACGGGGAGGUUUGGCACCUCGAUGUCGGCUCAUCGCAUCCUGGGGCUGUAGUCGG